AAUCAACGCUGGCGGCGUGCCUAACACAUGCAAGUCGAACGAGAAAGCGGGGGCAACUCCGCGAGUAAAGUGGCGACCGGGUGAGUAACACGUGACUAACCUACCCUCGAGUGGGGAAUAACCCUGGGAAACCGGGGCUAAUACCGCAUAAUCUGCGCGGGUGCGACUCCUGCGCAGCAAAGGCGCAAGUCGCUUGAGGAGGGGGUCGCGUCCGAUUAGCUAGUUGGUGGGGUAACGGCCCACCAAGGCGAUGAUCGGUAGCCGGCCUGAGAGGGCGCACGGCCACACUGGAACUGAAACACGGUCCAGACUCCUACGGGAGGCAGCAGUGGGGAAUUUUGCGCAAUGGGGGAAACCCUGACGCAGCAACGCCGCGUGGAGGAUGAAGUCCCUUGGGACGUAAACUCCUUUCGACCGGGACGAAUCUUGACGGUACCGGAAGAAGAAGCCCCGGCUAACUCCGUGCCAGCCGCCGCAGUAA
rnacentral:rRNA from 1 species